AGCCCUGAUUCAAUGCGCAAGGGAACUAAGAAGGACAUGAAUACGAGGAGGCAGGAACCAUCACAGGCUGUCUUGCAGACUGGUUACCACACACAGAAAUUGGGACUUGAAUCCAGGCCUCUCUGAUGUCAAAGUCCUUGUACUUCACUGUGCUGCCCUCCCCAAGCAGCCUCUUGAAUCUGUGGAUCCCUCUAAGUGUAAUGUCACCUUCAGCCUGCAACAGUACAGAAUGGAUAAAGUAGUGAUAUUAAACAUGCUGUAAGAGAAGAAGAGAAGCCUAGGCUCCUUGAGCAUGAUUAUAAAAUGGGGACCAGUGAGGAGAGGAUAGCCUCAAGAAGAAGAAUUGAGAGGGGCUUGGUUAACUAUCCCUAACUGGACAUUCUGCUUUUUGCUGUUCCUGGCAUCAGCUAUCAGAAAGUCUCUGUGGGGUCUUGCUGUUGCCCUGGCUGCAGUGCAGUGGCAUGAACACAGCUCACUGAAGCCUUGAACUCUCAGACUCAAUGGAUCCUUUCACCUCAGUCCCCCAAGUAGCUGGGACCACAGCAGUCUGGCCUUCCAGCUGGCCUCCAGAUGCAAAGGCAGAGUCUGAUGGAGACUUGGUGUCCUGAGAACUCCAGAAUGGGCUGUCAGUGCUCUAAUUUUUCAGCAAUCAGCCAUGACUGCCUUUGCACUGUCCAUGCUCUCAGCCCACCACCUCCUCCCCCUGCCAUUGCAGUGGCUAACACUGGAGACGAAGACCAAGACACCACCGCCUUUCUCCAGUACCACUCAAAUCAGCACAGGCAAGGACAAAGGCCUCAAUCCACAACUGCUGAAGAUGGACCCUGGCCACAUGGGAUGGUCAGACACGCCUGCCCAGCUAUCUGCAGGCGAAGAGGCUCAGAAGAGGUUUAGGGGCCUGAAGGACAUCUUGCUUCCAUGUCCAUAUGAGCAGGCUAUUUCUGCUCCAUGAGUCAAUUUUGCCAUAUAAAAUACUUAAUUUCAGCCAUUCCAGGGUGCUGUAGGAUGCACAGCUUCCCAUCAGCCCACCUGAACUCCAGCCAUGCCAUUUUAAUACCAGGAAUAAGGUCACCUGCUUUCCUGCCCCUUAGGAGGCCAGAGCCGUGGAAGCAAAAUGGCACUUCUGUUUACCUGUUAUAUUAUUUUUUUGUCAUCCUUAUAUGCUUGGAAAAUGCAAUUAUAUGAAAAAAGUUUAGUAAUUACAGACAUAACAGCAGAAA
ensembl:lncRNA novel transcript